rnacentral:rRNA from 1 species
CCUACGGGAGGCAGCAGUGAGGAAUAUUGGUCAAUGGGCGUAAGCCUGAACCAGCCAAGCCGCGUGAGGGAUGAAGGUUCUAAGUAUCGUAAACCUCUUUUGUAAGGGAACAAAGACUGGGACGUGUCCCAUUAUGUAUGUACCUGAAGAAAAAGGAUCGGCUAACUCCGUGCCAGCAGCCGCGGUAAUACGGAGGAUCCGAGCGUUAUCCGGAUUUAUUGGGUUUAAAGGGUGCGCAGACGGCCUUUUAAGUCAGCGGUGAAAGCCCGUGGCUCAACCCAGGAACUGCCGUGGAACCUGGGAGGCUUGAGUGGGUGAGAGGUAUGCGGAAUGCGUGGUGUAGCGGUGAAAUGCAUAGAUAUCGCGCAGAACCCCGAUUGCGAAGGCAGCCUGCCGGACCCUGACUGACGCUGAGGCACGAAAGCGUGGGGAUCAAACAGGAUUAGAUACCCGGGUAGUC